CUACGUGCCAGCAGCCGCGGUAAUACGUAGGUCCCGAGCGUUGUCCGGAUUUAUUGGGCGUAAAGCGAGCGCAGGCGGUUUGAUAAGUCUGAAGUUAAAGGCUGUGGCUCAACCAUAGUUCGCUUUGGAAACUGUCAAACUUGAGUGCAGAAGGGGAGAGUGGAAUUCCAUGUGUAGCGGUGAAAUGCGUAGAUAUAUGGAGGAACACCGGUGGCGAAAGCGGCUCUCUGGUCUGUAACUGACGCUGAGGCUCGAAAGCGUGGGGAGCGAACAGGAUUAGAUACCCUGGUAGUCCACGCCGUAAACGAUGAGUGCUAGGUGUUGGAUCCUUUCCGGGAUUCAGUGCCGCAGCUAACGCAUUAAGCACUCCGCCUGGGGAGUACGACCGCAAGGUUGAAACUCAAAGGAAUUGACGGGGGCCCGCACAAGCGGUGGAGUAUGUGGUUUAAUUCGAAGAUACGCGAAGAACCUUACCAAGGCUU
rnacentral:rRNA from 1 species